GGUUUGGUGGUCUAGUAGUAUGAUUCACCCUUAGGGUUCUUCAGAAUUGAGGUUACUUGGGUGAGGUCCCGGGUUCAAUUCCCGGCCAGACCC